rnacentral:misc_RNA from 1 species
UCGUAUUAACAGAGGUGCCGGGGCUGUCGCUAACUUUUGUGCACGCCUCGGUGCUCUCUCACAAUCCAUAUCACCCCCUUUUGUGCAUCACCGCGUGGGUGUUCUCCUUUUGGUUCAUUCUGAAAAGGGGGCAUUCGCGCUUUUACACAGACCCACCGCAUGUGUAGAAUGUCUUAAUAUUUGCGAUAAUACGCAAUCAAUA